AGCGCCGGAAGCGGUGAGGCACAGAUGAGUAACGUGAAUUUGUCCGUCUCCGACUUCUGGAGAGUGAUGAUGCGGGUGUGCUGGUUGGUGAGACAGGACAGCCGGCACCAGCGAAUCAGACUUCCACAUUUGGAAGCAGUUGUGAUUGGGCGUGGCCCAGAGACCAAGAUCACUGAUAAGAAAUGUUCUCGACAGCAAGUUGAAAGCAGAGUGUAACAAGGGAUAUGUCAAGGUAAAGCAGGUAGGUGUAUUUAUAACUUGGAAUUUUAUACUCGAUGAUUUUCUUAUGCUGUUGACUUUAGAGUGUCUGUGCCAGCCAGUGAAGGCUUCUCUGUCAUGUAUGGAAGUGAUGGAGUAAUAUAGGUGAACAUAAGGCAAGGUGCUUGGCAUAUAGUAAGUGGUUAACAUAGCAGUGGCUAUCUUACUGUAGGUGCUGUUGCUAUUAUUAUAAUUAUUUUCUGAUUGUUUAUUCCAUAGGUAGGAGUCAAUCCCACCAGCAUUGACUCAGUCGUAAUUGGGAAGGACCAAGAGGUGAAGCUGCAGCCUG
rnacentral:lncRNA from 1 species